CCCUUAGAUGUUCUGGGCCGCACGCGUGCUACACUGACCGGCGCAACAAGUUUCUUUCCUUGGCUCGAUAGGCCUGGGUAAUCUUUGAACGCCGGUCGUGAUGGGGAUAGAUCCUUGCAAUUUUUGAUCUUCAACGAGGAAUUCCUAGUAAACGCAAGUCAUCAACUUGCAUUGAUUACGUCCCUGCCCUUUGUACACACCGCCCGUCGCACCUACCGAUUGAAUGGUCCGGUGAAGCCUCCGGAUUGGCGCGCACCUCGGUGCCGCCGAGAAGUUGGCUAAACCUUACCAUUUAGAGGAAGGUGAAGUCGUAACA
rnacentral:rRNA from 1 species